rnacentral:misc_RNA from 1 species
GAAAUGCGAUAAGUAAUGUGAAUUGCAGAAUUCAGUGAAUCAUCGAAUCUUUGAACGCACAUUGCGCCCGCCAGCACUCUGGCGGGCAUGCCUGUUCGAGCGUCAUUUCAACCCUCAGAACCCCUUGCGGGAUCUGGCGUUGGGGAUUGGCAUCCAGCCAGCCCCGAAAUCUAGUGGCGGUCCCUCCGCGACCUCCCCUGUGCAGUAGCGAUACCUCGCAGCGGGACAGCGGUCUGACCACGCCGUAAAACCCCCAACUUCUCAAGGUUGACCUCGAAUCAGGUAGGAAGGCCCGCUGAACUUAAGC